rnacentral:rRNA from 1 species
AACGAACGCUGGCGGCAUGCCUAACACAUGCAAGUCGAACGGUGCCUUCGGGCACAGUGGCGCACGGGUGAGUAACACGUGGGAACCUGCCUUUCGGUUCGGAACAACGUCUGGAAACGGACGCUAACGCCGGAUACGCCCAUCCAGCGAUGGAUGGGGAAAGUUUACGCCGAGAGAGGGGCCCGCGCCGGAUUAGGUAGUUGGUGGGGUAACGGCCUACCAAGCCGACGAUCCGUAGCUGGUCUGAGAGGAUGAUCAGCCACACUGGGACUGAGACACGGCCCAGACUCCUACGGGAGGCAGCAGUGGGGAAUAUUGGACAAUGGGCGCAAGCCUGAUCCAGCAAUGCCGCGUGAGUGAUGAAGGCCUUAGGGUUGUAAACUCUUUUAUACGGGAAUAAAGUAGCCCCACGCGUGGGGUUUUGGUCAUGUACCGUAUGAAUAA